GCCCCAGUGGCCUAAUGGAUAAGGCACUGGCCUCCUAAGCCAGGGAUUGUGGGUUCAAGUGCCAUCUGGGGUG
rnacentral:tRNA from 1 species